rnacentral:rRNA from 1 species
CUUGUUGAAAUUUUAGGGUAGAAUCUAAAUUUUAAGAAGUGAUAGGUAGUAAUAGUCAUGAAAUUUAUUUUAAGGACCAGGAUUAGAUACCCUGUUACUUUUAGUUAAGAAACUUUGGAAUAAUAGUAUUGAUGAAAUUUAACGGAUUUGGCGGCAAGAUAGCCCCUUAGAGGAACCUGCCCUGUAAACGAUGAGCCACGAGUACUUUACUUUCUUUAGUAAUUCAGUUUGUAUAUCGCUGUUGUCAGUUAGAUUUUAGAAAAUAUUUUCACUCAUGAUAAAGUCAUUGACUUCAAGUAAAGGUGCAGCUUAUAAGGAAGAUAGAGGUGGGUUACAUUUAUUAGAUUAAAACGGAUUAGAAAGGAGAAUAAUUCUAUGAAGGUGGAUUUAACAGUAAAGCUUAAUAAAGUUUGAUUAGAGCUCUAUCUUGUGUACACACCGCCCGUCGCUCUCUUUUUUAAAAC